UACGUAGGGCGCAAGCGUUUAUCCGGAAUUAUUGGGCGUAAAGAGCUCGUAGGCGGUUUGUCGCGUCUGCCGUGAAAGUCCGGGGCUCAACUCCGGAUCUGCGGUGGGUACGGGCAGACUAGAGUGAUGUAGGGGAGACUGGAAUUCCUGGUGUAGCGGUGAAAUGCGCAGAUAUCAGGAGGAACACCGAUGGCGAAGGCGGUUCUCUGGGCAUGAUCUGACGCUGAGGAGCGAAAGUGUGGGGAGCGAACGGG
rnacentral:rRNA from 1 species